rnacentral:misc_RNA from 1 species
UCUCCGUUGGUGAACCAGCGGAGGGAUCAUUGCUGGAACAAACGCCCUCACGGGUGCUACCCAGAAACCCUUUGUGAAUUAUACCUAAAACGUUGCCUCGGCAUUGGUUGGCUUCCUUGGGAAGUCCCCUUUUCCUCUUUACGGAAAAGGGAGCAGACCGGCCGGUGGCCCCUUAUAAACUCUUUGUUUUUGUAAUGUCAUCUGAGUAAACAACUAUAAAUGAAUCAAAACUUUCAACAACGGAUCUCUUGGUUCUGGCAUCGAUGAAGAACGCAGC